CCCUAUGGGGUGCGCGAUCAUCUCAACCCGCAGGCUAUGCACAAGCUGCUCAUCCGCCUUGGAAACCGAUUCUUUGGGAAGAGGUUUGACUACACAGCGGUGGAGUGGCGAGGCUGGAACCUGCCGGUAACGCUAAUCGUUACGGCAACCAAAGAGCGGAUCAGCAUCACUCCGCAUGAACAUUUAAUGUCAGGAGACGGCUAUGGCAAUCGAGUUUGACCAUGACAGCGCCCUGAUAAAUAUUACCAGUCCGCAGAAUACCCUUUCCUGCCAAGGUCUUCUUGACGCGAUCCGCACCGAAGAGGCCAGUGCCACCGGCAUCUGGUUUGAUCAGAUUGCAACGGCAAGCGGAAAGGAAGACCUCGGGAGCGGCGUAAAUGUCGGCAUGACGGUCAAUUUGAUCAGUCCGUGGCAAAUACGGUUUUGGGCCGGAAACUAUAUUGCCAAGGUGGCGGGGGGGC
rnacentral:rRNA from 1 species